rnacentral:lncRNA from 1 species
UACUUGUUUGCAUUUUCUAAUGUUCUUGUGGUUCUUAGCCUUCACACAUGGGGAUGGGCCCCCGACUUCCACAAAUAAAAACCAACCUUUUUGUUCUAAAGAAUCAAACAUAAUAUAGAAAGUUUUAAAAUAAAGCUUAAUCUUGUACAUUUUAGGAUUAAAGGUAGUAUCUUUAUGAAUCUUUAAACAUAUAUGCUGGAUAAUACUGCAUUUUCUUACACUAAAAGCAGAUUUGGUUGAUAUUUUGUAGGUCAUUUUUACCAGAGAAAUCAUGGUCAAGGAAAUCCCAUGAAGAUGCGAAUUGUGUCUUCCUUCCAAAAUCCAAAUGUGUCCCAUUUGGUCCUCUUUCACUCUACCAGUGUCACAAGGGUCAAAGAAAUUGCCACCCGAUGCUGGAAUAGGUUUCCAGCAUGCAUUGGAAUCAGCUACACCAUUCUUGUUAGGUUAACAAGGCCUAUCAUUGUGUAAACACAUUGGCUAAACUGUAUGGUGUUAUAUGUUGGUGUCUUUUUUUGUUAUUGUUCAUUGUUCUUGAUCCUGGUUUUCAAAGGGUGAAAAUCCAGAGAUCUUGUAGUCUUAGAAAAAAAUGGAAGUGUCAUUGUUUGUGUGUGGCUGCAACUCUUCUUGAACAAAGUCUUUCUUUUGGGAAAUUGUAGGUGUUGUGUUUGUUCUUUUACCUUUGUGAUCAAAUGGGGUGUUUGGAUGUCCUUUGUCAUUGUAGUUUUAAGUAGAUGGUAAAUAAAUGGCAUGAAGUAUGCUUUUAUAAUGGUGUCAUUGUGAAAGCAUAACUCUUCAUGUAUGGAUACGAAUGUAUCAUAUUGGAUAGGGGGUGAGCAUUUGGACACGUUGACUGGACCGAACCGGUGCACUGCACCGGACCAGACCGUUUUUCUGGACCUCUGGGCCAGUUCUUGGUUCUAGGAUUUGAGAAAAACCUAUCCAUUUUGUCUCUAUUUUUUUACUGGUCCGGUCGGUUCCGGGUAAAAACUGGUUUUGAACCGGCUUAUUUUUUUAAAAAAAAUUGUAUUCUAUGAAAGUCUUUAAAACGACAUAUCUUAUUCGUUUUAAACCGGACUGACAUGUGAUUUCUUCCAACGUGUAAUUAGAGUUUGUAGAUGAUUUUAGACUAUAGUUUUAUUAUUUUUGGUGUUGUAGUCGAUGAGAUACAAUCAUUCAAAGAUGAUAUAUCAAAACUGAAAUAUUUCAACUUUUCAGCAAGAAAUUUAAACUUUUGUAUUCUGUGAAAUUCUUUAAACAAACAUAUGUUGUUCGUCUUAACUCAAUUG